rnacentral:rRNA from 1 species
UAGUCCACGCCGUAAACGAUGGAUACUAGCUGUUGGGUUUCGGCUCAGUGGCUAAGCGAAAGUGAUAAGUAUCCCACCUGGGGAGUACGUUCGCAAGAAUGAAACUCAAAGGAAUUGACGGGGGCCCGCACAAGCGGUGGAGCAUGUGGUUUAAUUCGAUGAUACGCGAGGAACCUUACCAGGGCUUAAAUGUAAGUUGCAUGAUCCAGAGAUGGGUCUUUCUUCGGACCACUUACAAGGUGCUGCAUGGUUGUCGUCAGCUCGUGCCGUGAGGUGUCAGGUUAAGUCCUAUAACGAGCGCGACCCUUGUCUUUAGUUGCCAUCAUUUAGUUGGGCACUCUAGAGAAACUGCCGGUGACAAACCGGAGGAAGGUAAGGAUGACGUCAAGUCAGCAUGCCCCUUACGUUCUGGGCUACACACGUGCUACAAUGGUCGUGACAAAGAGUUGCUAGUCUGCGAAGGCAAGCCAAUCUCAUAAACGCGGCCUUAGUUCGGAUUGCAGG